GGAUUGCAGGCUGCAACUCGCCUGCAUGAAGCCGGAAUCGCUAGUAAUCGCGGAUCAGCAUGCCGCGGUGAAUACGUUCCCGGGCCUUGUACACACCGCCCGUCACACCACGAGAGUUUGUAACACCCGAAGUCGGUGGGGUAACCGUAAGGAGCCAGCCGCCUAAGGUGGGACAGAUGAUUGGGGUGAAGUCGUAACAAGGUAGCCGUAUCGGAAGGUGCGGCUGGAUCACCUCCUUUCUAAGGAA
rnacentral:rRNA from 1 species